rnacentral:rRNA from 1 species
AACAGAGGGUGCGAACGUUGUUCGGAAUUACUGGGCGUAAAGAGCUCGUAGGCGGUUUGUCGCGUCUGCUGUGAAAACCCGAGGCUCAACCUCGGGCCUGCAGUGGGUACGGGCAGACUAGAGUGCGGUAGGGGAGAUUGGAAUUCCUGGUGUAGCGGUGGAAUGCGCAGAUAUCAGGAGGAACACCAAUGGCGAAGGCAGAUCUCUGGGCCGUAACUGACGCUGAGGAGCGAAAGCAUGGGGAGCGAACAGG